GCUGGGAGAGAGCACUCACUUACCGUCACAGGCAAAACAGCCUUGACUUGGGAAAAUUAGUUUAAUUUAUUAGCAAUCAAAUCAGAGUAGGGUAAUGAG